UGCCUCUCGAUGACUCUUUCUCAGGACCUCGGAUUCUGCCUCCGCAUCCUUGACUGCCCACUGCUCGUACACCAGUUAGAUCUUCAAUUGCUGUAAUUCGGCCUUCCCCUCCCCAAGGGCGAUGGAUAGCUCUUCUGUGGUUCUUCUCAGGGAUUGGAGUUCGUCGGGACCCUAAACGGGAGCAAACUGAGCCCCUUCAGCUAGCUGCCUUUGAAGGCAGGCAACCUCGUCGGUCGCCAUCCUGAGC
rnacentral:lncRNA from 1 species